AGGACGAACGCUGGCGGCGUGCUUAACACAUGCAAGUCAAGGGGGGCCGCAAGGUCAACCGGCGAACGGGUGCGUAACACGUGAGCAACCUGCCUUAGUGUGGGGGAUAGCCGGCCCAACGGCCGGGUAAUACCGCAUACGCUCACUGGGUGGCAUCACCUGGUGAAGAAACUUUCGAGGCACUAAGAGGGCUCGCGGCCUAUCAGCUUGUUGGUGGGGUAAUGUCCUACCAAGGCGACGACGGUAGCUGGU
rnacentral:rRNA from 1 species